rnacentral:lncRNA from 1 species
CAGCCAUACAGUUUGCUUUAAUAAGAGGGUUUCUUUGUUUCUCCUCUGACUUGAUUGCUUUUAUCCCCAAUUUCUUUCUCUCCACAAGCACACAUUUGUUCUUUCUUUCCUCUAAUGCUCUUGGUCAGAUGAAUACUUUUGUAGUUCAUUUAACCACUCUGCUUCUAAUUUCCUUCCUUAAUACCUCCUUGAAUGAUAAGUGGAAUCACUACUGGAGCCACUUCUAACUUGGGAUUCUCAGUAACUUUUAUCUGUUGAGGAGGAAAUAGGCUGAAUGUAGUGAGUGGUUUUGAUUGUACCAAAAAAAGAAGGAAAUAAAGAAGGUGGAGAUGGAGACUGGAACCAAGGAGGAUGCAGAGCAAAAAUAAGAAAGGAGUGGUGCUAUGUGACUGAACUUAUGGCAGAGCAUGUGAUCAAGCUUUCCUCUGGAUCUAUUUUAUUCACUGUGAAGCUCAAGACACACAGAGAGGCCUAUGUGGAGAGGAACUGAGCUCAGGCAGCAUCUUCAUCUGAUCUCCUAGUUGACAGCCAGCCAAACUUUUCCAGCCAAGUGAAAAAUGGGCCAUCUUGGAAAUGGAUUAUCCAACCUUCGGGAAAGUUCUCCCUACCAUUGCUCCAUGGAGCACUACCAUUCUCUGUCAAAAUUGCAAAUUCGUAAAGAAAAUAAAUGGCAGUUGUUUUUAAG